rnacentral:rRNA from 1 species
GUGGGGAAUAUUGGACAAUGGGCGCAAGCCUGAUCCAGCAAUGCCGCGUGAGUGAUGAAGGCCUUAGGGUUGUAAAGCUCUUUUACCCGGGAUGAUAAUGACAGUACCGGGAGAAUAAGCUCCGGCUAACUCCGUGCCAGCAGCCGCGGUAAUACGGAGGGAGCUAGCGUUGUUCGGAAUUACUGGGCGUAAAGCGCGCGUAGGCGGCUAUUCAAGUCAGUGGUGAAAGCCCGGGGCUCAACCCCGGAACUGCCUUUGAAACUAGGUAGCUAGAAUCUUGGAGAGGCGAGUGGAAUUCCGAGUGUAGAGGUGAAAUUCGUAGAUAUUCGGAAGAACACCAGUGGCGAAGGCGACUCGCUGGACAAGUAUUGACGCUGAGGUGCGAAAGCGUGGGGAGCAAACAGGAUUAGAAACCCGAGUAGUCC